AACGAACGCUGGCGGCGUGGCUAAGACAUGCAAGUCGAACGGUAGGUUAUAGCAAUAUGGCCUAUAGUGGCGGACGGGUGAGUAAUAAAUAGGUAACGUACCCUGGGCACGGGGAUAGCGUCGUCCCGAGCAAUCGGGGGCUUUGCGAAAGUGACGGUAAUACCCGGUAAUGUCUUCGAGUGGCAUCACUCGAAGACCAGAGGUGGGGACCUUCGGGCCUAUCGGCCUGGGAGCGGCCUAUUUCCUACAGCUAGUUGGUGAGGUAACGGCUCACCAAGGCUUCGACGGGUAACCGGACUGAGAGGUCGGCCGGUCACAUCGGGGACUGAGACACGUGCCCGGACAUCUACGGAUGGCUGCAGUAACGAAUA
rnacentral:rRNA from 1 species